AAUGAACGCUGGCGGCGUGUUUAACACAUGCAAGUCGUACGAGAACUCUUUAGCUUGCUAAAGAUAGUAAAGUGGCGUACGGGUGAGUAACGCGUGGGUAAUCUACCUCCGAAUCGGGGACAACCCGCCGAAAGGCGAGCUAAUACCGGAUAAUAUCCAUAAAAUUUCGGUUUUAAAGAUCAAAGGUGGUCUCUACAUGUAAGCUACUGUUUGGAGAUGAGCCCGCGUACCAUUAGCUUGUUGGUAGGGUAAUGGCCUACCAAGGCUUCGAUGGUUAGCUGGUCUGAGAGGAUGAUCAGCCACACUGGAACUGACACACGGUCCAGACUCCUACGGGAGGCAGCAGUGAGGAAUUUUGCGCAAUGGGGGAAACCCUGACGCAGCAACGCCGCGUGAGUGAUGAAGGCUUUCGGGUCGUAAAGCUCUGUCAAGUGGGAAGAACAUGCUUGAUGCUAAUACCAUUUUGCACUGACGGUACCACUGAAGGAAGCACCGGCUAACUCCGUGCCACCAGCCGCGGUAAUACGGGGGGUGCAAGCGUUAUUCGGAAUUAUUGGGCGUAAAGGGCGCGUAGGCGGUCUUUUAAGUCAGACGUGAAAGCCCGGGGCUUAACCCCGGAAGUGCAUUUGAAACUAAAGGACUUGAGUAUGGGAGAGGGAAGUGGAAUUCCUGAUGUACAAGUGAACUUCGGCAGAUAUCGGGAGGACGUCGGUGGGGGCAGGCGACUUCCUGGCACCAGUGACUGACGCUGACGCGCGAAUGCGUGGGGAGCAAGCAUGAUCACAUAC
rnacentral:rRNA from 1 species